rnacentral:rRNA from 1 species
CCCUUAGAUGUUCUGGGCUGCACGCGCGCUACACUGAUGCACUCAUCGAGUUUAUGACCUUGUCCGAUAGGAUUGGGUAAUCUUCUUAAAAUGCAUCGUGAUGGGGAUAGAUUAUUGCAAUUAUUAAUCUUCAACGAGGAAUGCCUAGUAGGCGCAAGUCAUCAGCUUGCGUCGAUUACGUCCCUGCCCUUUGUACACACCGCCCGUCGCUCCUACCGAUUGGGUGUGCUGGUGAAAUGUUCGGAUCGGCCGUUUGUCGCGGUUUCCGCGUCAUGUGGCUGAGAAGUUCAUUAAACCCUCCCACCUAGAGGAAGGAGAAGUCGUAACA